rnacentral:rRNA from 1 species
GAUGAACGCUGGCGGCGUGCCUAGUACAUGCAAGUCGAGCGAACAGACGAGGAGCUUGCUCCUCUGACGUUAGCGGCGGACGGGUGAGUAACACGUGGAUAACCUACCUAUAAGACUGGGAUAACUUCGGGAAACCGGAGCUAAUACCGGAUAAUAUAUUGAACCGCAUGGUUCAAUAGUGAAAGACGGUUUUGCUGUCACUUAUAGAUGGAUCCGCGCCGCAUUAGCUAGUUGGUAAGGUAACGGCUUACCAAGGCGACGAUGCGUAGCCGACCUGAGAGGGUGAUCGGCCACACUGGAACUGAGACACGGUCCAGACUCCUACGGGAGGCAGCAGUAGGGAAUCUUCCGCAAUGGGCGAAAGCCUGACGGAGCAACGCCGCGUGAGUGAUGAAGGUCUUCGGAUCGUAAAACUCUGUUAUUAGGGAAGAACAAAUGUGUAAGUAACUAUGCACGUCUUGACGGUACCUAAUCAGAAAGCCACGGCUAACUACGU